AAGAAAAUGACAGAAUGGUGAUGUGCCUGGCUUGAAACCAGGGUAUAGGGGUUCGAUUCCCUUUUUUCUCG
rnacentral:tRNA from 1 species